CAUGCAAGUCGAACGAAGUAGCAAUACUUAGUGGCAGACGGGUGAGUAACAUGUGGGUAUCUACCCUUUGGCCUGGAAUAACACGAGGAAACUUGUGCUAAUACCGGAUAAGUCUUUACGGAGAAAGCUUUAUGCACCAUUGGAUGAGCCUGCACUUGAUUAGUUUGUUGGUAGGGUAAUGGCCUACCAAGACUAUGAUCAAUAGCUGAUUUGAGAGGAUGAUCAGCCACAUUGGGACUGAGACACGGCCCAAACUCCUACGGGAGGCAGCAGUGGGGAAUCUUGCACAAUGGAGGAAACUCUGAUGCAGCGAUGCCGCGUGAGUGAAGAGGGCCCUUGGGUUGUAAAGCUCUUUCGUCGGGGAAGAAAAUGACUGUACCCGAAUAAGAAGGUCCGGCUAACUUCGUGCCAGCAGCCGCGGUAAUACGAAGGGACCUAGCGUAGUUCGGAAUUACUGGGCUUAAAGAGUUCGUAGGUGGUUGAAAAAGUUGGUGGUGAAAUCCCAGAGCUUAACUCUGGAACUGCCAUCAAAACUUUUCAGCUAGAGUAUGAUAGAGGAAAGCAGAAUUUCUAGUGUAGAGGUGAAAUUCGUAGAUAUUAGAAAGAAUACCAAUUGCGAAGGCAGCUUUCUGGAUCAUUACUGACACUGAGGAACGAAAGCAUGGGUAGCGAAGAGGAUUAGAUACCCUCGUAGUCCAUGCCGUAAACGAUGUGUGUUAGACGUUGGAAAUUUAUUUUCAGUGUCGCAGCGAAAGCGAUAAACAC
rnacentral:rRNA from 1 species